CUGCUGCUGACCCAGUUAGGUGAUAAUAUACCAGCUAUACCAUCUAUCUGCUGCUGACCCAGUUAGGUGAUAAUAUACCAGCUAUACCAUCUAUCUGCAGCUGACCCAGUUAGGUGAUAAUAUACCAGCUAUACCAUCUAUCUGCAGCUGACCCAGUUAGGUGAUAAUAUACCAGCUAUACCAUCUAUCUGCUGCUGACCCAGUUAGGUGAUAAUAUACCAUCUAAUCUAUCUGCUGCUGACCCAGUUAGGUGAUAAUAUACCAGCUAUACCCAUCUAUCUGCUGCGGACCCAGUUAGGUGAUAAUAUACCAGCUAUACCCAUCUAUCUGCUGCUGACCCAGUUAGGUGAUAAUAUACCAGCUAUACCCAUCUAUCUGCUGCUGACCCAGUCAGGAAGUAGAGAGGCGUGGUGCAGGUGGACCAGCUGUACAGGCUUAGUGCGGUGCCAGUCCUCAGUGCCCCAAGCUGUUCCUGUUUCCUAGCCAGGUCCCAAAACAGGUUGUGAAGUGUUGCCAACUCCUAUGGUCAUUGUCACACCUCGUGACCAAGCCCCUUUAGUCAACGAGGAGCCAGCACCCUCCGAUGUUCUGUUACCUGCGGGGGGAAAAAGCUGUUUUUAUAACAGACAUCAAAACCACGCAUCAAGGUGCGCUGACAACGACACUCUAUAGUGGUAGAUAGGACUAACAGGUAACAGAGGACCAAGGUUUUAAAGUGGAGGUAACUCCAGCUAUAUACAGAGAGAGGGGAGUUUCAGCCAUUUUGUUAUCAUUUCAUAUCAUCAUGUCAUGUUAAACAAUAUUGUGUUCCUCAAGUCCUAAUGCUGGCACGCAAAAGGUACAUUUCCUAUAGGAAGGAACAGAGGGGUUCCCACAGAUAUCUACAUGACGUCAACACUAUAGGAAACCUGACAGGAAGUCAUGAUGACUGUAUCUUGAGUUGAGAUACAGAAAGGAUUUCAAGGUGUUUAUAUUUCUGUAUUUAACUUUACAACCAUAUCUACUACGACUUCUGUAUUUAACUUUACAGCCAUAUCUACUACGACUUCUGUAUUUAACUUUACAACCAUAUCUACUACGACUUCUGUAUUUAACUUUACAGCCAUAUCUACUACGACUUCUGUAUUUAACUUUACAACCAUAUCUACUACGACUUCUGUAUUUAACUUUACAACCAUGUCUACUACGACUUCUGUAUUUAACUUUACAGCCAUAUCUACUACGACUUCUGUAUUUAACUUUACAGCCAGAU
rnacentral:lncRNA from 1 species